AUUCGUCCUCUCCCUCUCCAAUCUCCCUCUUCCUCUCCUCAGGUCGGGGCGCUGGCUGAGACCGAGCGGCGGCGGCUCGUUGCGAUCGGGGCAGCACCCCGCUUCUCCCGUCCAAUCCGGCGGUGGCUCGGUGACGAGAGGAGGGGCGGCGAGAGCUCGGCUCCUCCCUCGCCUCUUCUCCCCUCCAAUCCCGGUGGCAGCGGCGGCGGCGGCUCCGCGACAAGGAAGGGCGGCGGGAGCUUGGUUCCUCCCUCCCCUCUUCUCCCCUUCAAUCCCGGCGGCGGCUAGGCGACAAGUGCGGGACAAGGGCGGCGGCUCGGCAACGGCGGCUCAGCGGCGACGACGACGACAGCGACAAGGGAGGGGCCUUGGCGACUUUGACGACGACCGCGACGACGGAGGGCCUCGUCGACAACGACGGCGCGCGGUGGACGGCGACGAGCGGAUCCGGCACCACCUCCUCCAUCCACCGCGCCACCUCCAUCUCCGCCCCCAGCCACCUCUUCACCCUUCCCCGCCUCGCUCCCCUAGCCAGGGAAGGACGGUGGCGCGCGGAUCUGCCGCCUCCCGUCGUCGGGAGCGACGGCGGCGCAUGAAUCCAGCGGCCUCCGUCCUCGGGAGUGCCCUGGCGUGAGCGGGAGUGCCGGCAGCACGCAGAUUCGCAACGACGGUGACGGUGGCUGCAACGACGACGACAGCGGCGAUGGUAGCUGCGACGACGACGACGGCGAUGACAGCGGCUGUGAUGAAAACGACAACGCUGUGAUGCAAGUAGCGGCGGUGCUCUCUUCCUCUAUCCUCCGCCAUCAGCAGCACCAGUAUACCCUGGGACGCCUACCGACGGUUACUUUUUUGGGGGUGAUGUUUCGAUUUGCAAAUCAAAACAAGAUUGCUGCCUGAUACAAAACUUAAGUGCUGCUAAGCUCACCUGGAAGAUCUUGGUCACGCGGCAUCGGGUGAAAUUCUGUAUGGUUACAUUUAAUUGGGUUGUAGAUUCUGGGUUGUAAAUUUUGUGUUGUAUUGAAUGUUUGUCGGGUUCCGAUGGAUGCUAAUAGGGUUGUAACCUGUGUGCUGUAUCGGUUGUUACUGUGUUUGAUUGUUGGGCCUAUAUGGGCUUAGCUCUCUUGUUAUUUGAUACUAAUGUAAAUGAAUAUAAUAUGAUUGGGCUGAAAAUGGUGUGGUAUAAUGUUUGGGCCUA